UGGGGAAUAUUGCACAAUGGGCGCAAGCCUGAUGCAGCCAUGCCGCGUGUGUGAAGAAGGCCUUCGGGUUGUAAAGCACUUUCAGCGAGGAGGAAGGUGGUGAGCUUAAUACGCUCAUCAAUUGACGUUACUCGCAGAAGAAGCACCGGCUAACUCCGUGCCAGCAGCCGCGGUAAUACGGAGGGUGCAAGCGUUAAUCGGAAUUACUGGCGUAAAGCGCACGCAGGCGGUUUGUUAAGUCAGAUGUGAAAUCCCCGGGCUCAACCUGGGAACUGCAUUUGAAACUGGCAAGCUAGAGUCUCGUAGAGGGGGGUAGAAUUCCAGGUGUAGCGGUGAAAUGCGUAGAGAUCUGGAGGAAUACCGGUGGCGAAGGCGGCCCCCUGGACGAAGACUGACGCUCAGGUGCGAAAGCGUGGGGCAGCAAACAGGAUUAGAUA
rnacentral:rRNA from 1 species